GGAUCGGAGUCUGCAACCCGACUCCGUGAAGCUGGAUUCGCUAGUAAUCGCGCAUCAGCCAUGGCGCGGUGAAUACGUUCCCGGGCCUUGUACACACCGCCCGUCAAGCCAUGAAAGCCGGGGGCGCCUGAAGUCCGUGACCGCGAGGGUCGGCCUAGGGUGAAACCGGUGAUUGAGGCUAAGUCGUAACAAGGUAUC
rnacentral:rRNA from 1 species